rnacentral:ncRNA from 1 species
CAAAGGUUUGGUCCUGGCUUUACUGUCAGCUUUAGUUAAACUUUACACAUGCAAGUAUCCGCCCCCCGGUGAGGAUGCCCUUACUCUUCUUGCACUGAAGAUAAGGAGCUGGUAUCAGGCACACAAGCUCAGCCCACAACACCUUGCUAAGCCACACCCCCAAGGGAACCCAGCAGUGAUAAAUUUUAAGCCAUAAGUGAAAACUUGACUUAGUUAAGGCUAAUUAGGGUUGGUAAAUUUCGUGCCAGCCACCGCGGUUAGACGAAUGACCCAAGUUGACAGAAUACGGCGUAAAGGGUGGUUAGGGAAUAUUAAUACUAAAGCCGAACACCUUCCAAGCUGUUAUACGCUUAUGAAGAACUGAAGCACAACUACGAAAGUGGCUUUAAAACACCUGAACCCACGAAAGCUAAGAAACAAACUGGGAUUAGAUACCCCACUAUGCUUAGCCCUAAACAUUGACUGUUUAUUACAUAAACAUCCGCCUGGGAACUACGAACAUUAGUUUAAAACCCAAAGGACUUGGCGGUGCUUAAUAUCCACCUAGAGGAGCCUGUCCUAUAACCGAUAAUCCCCGUUAAACCUCACCUUCUCUCGCAAUAUCAGCCUAUAUACCGCCGUCGCCAGCUUACCCUUUGAAGGACUAACAGUAAGCACAAUUGGUACAACCCAAUACGUCAGGUCGAGGUGUAGCCUAUGAGAAGGGAAGAGAUGGGCUACAUUCACUAACAUAGUGAAUACGAAUAGUAUAUUGAAACAUAUACUUGAAGGAGGAUUUAGCAGUAAGCAGGAAAUAGAGUGUUCUGCUGAAGCCGGCUCUUAAGCGCGUACAUACCGCCCGUCACCCUCGCCAAGCCCUACCAAUUAUUUUUUCUAAAUCACUUAUAAAGCUAAGGAGAGGAAAGUCGUAACAUGGUAAGCGUACCGGAAGGUGUGCUUGGAUAAUC